CCUACGGGAGGCAGCAGUGAGGAAUAUUGGUCAAUGGACGAGAGUCUGAACCAGCCAAGUAGCGUGAAGGAUGACUGCCCUAUGGGUUGUAAACUUCUUUUAUAUGGGAAUAAAAUGUUCCACGUGUGCGUUUUUGUAUGUACCAUAUGAAUAAGGAUCGGCUAACUCCGUGCCAGCAGCCGCGGUAAUACGGAGGAUCCGAGCGUUAUCCGGAUUUAUUGGGUUUAAAGGGAGCGUAGGUGGAUUGUUAAGUCAGUUGUGAAAGUUUGCGGCUCAACCGUAAAAUUGCAGUUGAAACUGGCAGUCUUGAGUACAGUAGAGGUGGGCGGAAUUCGUGGUGUAGCGGUGAAAUGCUUAGAUAUCACGAAGAACUCCGAUUGCGAAGGCAGCUCACUGGACUGCAACUGACACUGAGGCUCGAAAGUGUGGGUAUCAAACAGGAUUAGAUACCCGUGUAGUC
rnacentral:rRNA from 1 species